GGGGACGUUACGGAUUCGACAGGCAUAGUUUGAGCCUGAAUUGCGCUCCGUAGGUUACGUCUACGUUAAAACGUUACAGUUAAUAUAACUGCAAACAAUAAUAACUCUUACGCUUUAGCUGCCUAAAAACAGUUAGCGUAGAUCCUCCUGUCAUCACCCAUGUGCCAGAUCAGGGUCCUAAUUAAGUGGGAUACGCUGUGUCUUUUCCGUCUGGAAAGCACAGAAGAGAUAAUCAGACUAGCGAAGAGAUUGGCCUGUCAUUCGGCAAGUUUCCAAGCGAAAUUCUAAUUGAACUGACUAUGAGCGUAGACUUUUAGGUAGCGAUAUGUUUGGACGCGGGUUCAACUCCCGCCGUCUCCAUAC
rfam:Enterococcus aquimarinus strain DSM 17690 Scaffold18, whole genome shotgun sequence.